AUGGCUUGAAACAGUCAGAAGAUUGGUGUUUAGGGGAAAGAGUUCAGUUGUAUCAGGCUAUUUAGGGGGCUAGCUGCAAGAAUGCAGAGACAUUUCUCACACUAGUCCACUUGCUUACUAAUAUGAAUAACUAAUGAUUAAAGCAUCUGAUCUACCGAGGGCUGUGAGAUUAUUAGACCAGGCUUGUGAAACUCCUUUGUCACUGUCUGGAAAAGCCAGACUUCUCUGGAUGUUGCAGUUUAAUUUUUUUCCCCUCCUCAGAGGAUGUGGUAUGGCUUCAGCCAAUAAUUUAGAAUCAGCAGAGAGUGACACGGCAUCAAAAGCAACACUAAAUGUACUGAUCCUCUUCUUCGCCUGGGCUAUCUGCAAUUUACAUAGUGCUGUCGGCUUAUUUCCUUGCUUGGUGCUUGAGUGUGACUGAUGAUACAAGUCUCAACACAGAGCUGGGAACAGCAUCAGGGCAUGCCUCGACAUACAAGAGUUACCAGUGAAUUGCAUGAGUGUGGGAGGAGCAGGUCAUCUGGCUCUCAUCUCGGAUGGUAGACCAAGGAAUGUUAGGGAAUAUGCCAAGCGUUUCUGGAUGUGAGAGCUACAACCCAGAGGGCUGAUAGAAAUUAAAGAUACACUGGUAUAGUGGUUAAUGCUCCAAAUUCACGGACAGUAAUAAAAAUAAUGUUGCCCAGAAAGCAGCAGGAGGCAUGCUGGAGAAAAAGAGACAGGCCAAUAGAAUGAACAGAAAUGUUUGCAUCAUUGUCAGAUGGAUGACCAGGCUGAUUAUUGUACUUGGCUUGCUCAGCUCUUCAGUGGCAGACGACUUUCUAGCUCCUGGGAGAAUGGUGGAAGAUCCACUCCCACUCUUCCCCUCUCUUCCUGGCUGGGGUGAAGAAGGCAAGCUCUUCUCAUCACUAGAAUCUCUUUCUCUCCUCUCCUCCCUAAAUGGGAGAAGAUCCCUGGUUUUGUAUUUCCGCCCCUCCUUUUUGCUCUCAGCAUGGUAAAGCAACAAACCACUGGAGGAAAAAAUUGCUUGCUCUCAUGCUUAUUACAAAAACAGAACUUUGCAAAUCACUGGCAGAGGGUCUGGACAUGAAAUUGCAUUCUGUCUACUUUCAUAAUAAUUGGACCACACGGCUUCCUGUCAACACAACACUUUUUGUCACCUUUCAACAUCUUGCACUUUCUGCACAGUUCACACACUAAAACAAUGUGUAAAAGUGGUGUUCAAGAAAAAACAAGCACAUAAAACCAAUAAACUGAGAUUCUCAGUGGUGUUUUUUCCCCCUGUAUGUGCUGGAAGAGUCAAAACUCCCCAACCAGCACAUCUGGAUGAAGACGAAUUAAGGUCACUGUGUGGAUUCAAAACACUGAAACCAUGUGAACAGUGUUUCCUGCAGUCUGAUGAAUCUGUCUGUCUCCCAUAUGUUCAAUCAGGACUGGCUUUAGGCACCAGCAAACCAAGCCCAUGCUUGGGGCGGCAGAAUUGCAGGGGCAGCAUUCCAGGAGGUUGUUGUUGGUUUUUUUGCUUCGGCAGUUGCGCUCUCGGAGGUUUGGUUUUUUUUCUUGGGGCAGCAAAAAACCUAGAGCCAGCCCUGUGUGCAAUAGCUCCUUUACAGACCUGAUUUUUCUGAAGCACUGCAAAUAAAGACCCAGAAAUGCACAUCCCCUUCCCAUUUGCCAAUCCUAAGGAUACAUAAGAGCCAAGAUUGCCUUUUAUUGCCCCUAACUAGAUCAACCUCUGCUUCUGAGCCACUCUUUGAUGUCUGUCCCAAAGGGUGACAGCAAAAUGAUCAUUUGAAAAAAAAUAUAGCCUUUAGUUUUUUUGAUUGACAAGCAACCCAGCUUGCCUGAUGGAGAUCUCCAAAACAGCUUGCAAUUACGUCAAAAGCAUCAAAGAGAGUUUGCCAAGCUGAGUGACUUUGGGUAAGUCACAUAACCUUUUGUGUCCCCGUUCAUCAUCUUUUGGGACUUAAUCUAAGAUUUGUUGGGUUUUUUGUUUUUGUCUUUCAAAAUAAAUUCACACUGGCAGAGAUGGAUAAUCUUUCCAAAAUCCAGAAUAGCAAACUCAAGCUAAGAAUUGAUAUAGUGCACUUCCAUUAACUUUCAGUGACAGCUGUGAGCACUCAAUCAGCUCACUUUUAUUUAGGUGCCUAUUUCUAGAUUUAGGUGUCUAACUUUACAUAAGAGCAUAAACAUUUCCAUAUUGGGUCAAACCAAUCUUGUCCAGUAUCCUGUCUCCAUCAGUGGUCCAAGCUUGAGCUUCAGGGAAGUGUACAGAACAGGGCAAUUUUGGAGUAAUCCACUCCCAUCUUGCACUCUCAGUUUAUAGAAGUCAGAACUUUAGGAUCGCACCAAGCACAGGUUUGCAUCACUGACCAUCUUGGCUAAUAACCAUUGAUGGACUUAUCCUCCAUGAACUUACCUAGUGUGAUGUUGUAUGAUUGAAGUGGAUAUUACCACUGUUAUACAGCUGCAACAAAUCUUUUACAAAGUGUAUCAUGUAAGGUGUUGUGAAAAAAGUUACAAUCUGUCAAGUAUGAUUAUCCCGGUUAAAUCCAUGCAUCAUCGUCUGAAGUUAUGAAUACUGACUAUGUAUUUGUAUCUUAAAUGUGUUUGUUCUUGAGGUGACACCCAUAAGGUAGUUUAUCUCCAGUCUCACCAGCCCAUUGUGAAUGGACCAUUCAAGUUUGAUUGGCCAUUAAGAAGAAUUAACUCUCAAGAUAACUCUUCCUGAGGAUGCCUGAGACAGCAAGGAGCCAAUGGCCACCCCAUGAUUCAGGAAAACGUGUAAGGUCAUGUGAUGUGGACAUGUGACCACAGACUCCAUCUUUUUUUCACUUUCUAUACAAAGGGGCUGUGGGCAUUAUUUAAGGCAGAGGAUAUAAAAGACUCCUGAGACAUCUCCAUUUUGCCUCAUUCCUGCUCCAAUUCUCUGGACUGUGGAUUUACAACUAAAAGGAGUAUUUUGAACUAAGGACCUUCCAAUCUUGUGGAAAUUACCAGAGAGACUUUUGCAAGCCAGCAGUCUAUUCCAUCACUGCUACAAACCUGAUCUGAGGUCUUUGUUAUCAUUUGUAUGUAUA